CCCAGGCCAGACACAAAUCUACAUGAAGUCCUCAGGAGAGCCCUACUAAUAGCAAUAUCCAACCCCUGCACACUCCCCUGCCUCUGACAGUAUUCCACUUUGAGAUACUGGAGGCAGAGGAGGGUCCUGACUGAAGCCCUGGCCCAGCCCAGAGCCUGAAUCAAAGUGAUCCAAAGACUGAGUCAGUCAGAGGAGCAGGGAAAUUGCUCAGCAAUUCCAGCUGAGGAACAAUAUUCCUCAAGGACUUUCCUUGGGCAGAAGCUCACACUUCACUCUUCCUUCUUCUGGAUCUUCUCCUGGUGGAUGCAAUGGGGUUCAUCUGGAAACUUCUCUGGAAGAAAGAGUGAGAAUGCCAGACCAAAGAGAAACUCCAAAGAGAACUCAGUAAGUUCUGUGCUUACUUCAUCUCUGUGUACUAUUUAAGACCUUCUCAUGUGCCAGUUAUGUCAUGAGUUUUUUUUGUUCUACUUGAGGCUGGAGAAAAGGCAAGAAAGUGGAUGAUACUGAAGCACAAAUCCUUCUAAUUUAGGAAAUGAGAAGAAUUGAGUAAAGAGCUCCCAAUAGAGUCCAAACCCAUGGUCAGAAACCAGGAAGGUUAAAUAGAAGAGUCCAUUUCCUCUGGCCUCCUUCUCUCUGGACACAUCCUUGUGAAGAAGCUGAGGAGACACAGCCAGACAAGUCCUGGACAUGAGUGAAGCAGGCACCAAGGAGGGGAUGGGAAGGCAACCAGGGCACAGAAAAGGCUAAGAAAUGUCUGGCUGUUGCAAGGGAGUGCUCAUCUCUCCUUUUCCUGUUGAAGAGCGGAGAAAAGCCUGCUCCUAUGCUGGUGAAUGGCUGUCUCAUUACUAUGGUCUCAGGCAGAGGACUCCUUAAAAAAAGAUCUUAGUGUUCUUUCUCCAUCUUCCAGCUCCAAAUAGUGGCCUGGUUUGGUGGGCGAUGGACGGAGACCCGGAGAAGAUCCACACAGCAUCAUGACCAAGUGCUACCUCAUCCCAGUUGAGCAUCUUCACCUUUUUCUUUCCAGCAGUUUAGGCUUAUUUCUAUCUUUCUCCUUCUUAAAGCCCUCCCCACACACUUUUUUUCUUGGAUUUUUCUACUCCUCAACAUUUUCAUUACCAAAAACCUAAGGAUACAACUAGAAAGCCUCCAUUUAAAUGACAUUCAGUCUCAAGUAUGUUAUGUGCAUCUUAGAGGAGACCUGGCAACCCUGUUCACCUGAGCCCCUCUCUCCUCAGAGCAGAGAGACCACCUCAUAAUUUGUUCCCCCAUGAAGAACACUAGAAAGGAGGUCUAAGUUAAAUCUUGUAAAUUGUCAUUUUUAAUAGCCAACAUUUAUUGAGCAGCUACCACCAUGCCCAAGCACAGGUCUGAGUGCUUUAUGUAUAUUCUCUUAUUUAGUAAUCCUCACAUCAGCCGUAAGAAGUAGGUGCCAUUAUGAUGUCCAUGUACAAUGGAGUAAAUUAAUCCACAAAAAGAGUAAAAACCUUGCACUAAAUCAUACAUCCAGGAGGUGGUGACACUAAGACAAAAACUCAGGGAAUCUGGUCCCACAUUCCAAAUUUGGAAUAGAUCUACUCUGAUUCCUUAUCCUUAACAUGAAGAAGGCCCAGUAAUUUCAAGUAACUUGUUCAAGGUCACUCAACUGAUUAAUUCUGACUCAAGAGAUGCUGAUACUUCUUCCCUGUCUGUCUGCUAAAUGUACAUGUUCCCCAGGGAUUCUUGGAUCCACUUGUCACUCUGUAGUGAAAUACACGUGUCACUCUACAUUACACCUUGAGAAUCCUACAUGUGGAGUACUCCCACAUUCAUAUCUCAAUGUCUUUCCAAAGUUCCAUUUCCACCAGAACCCUAAAAUUUCUCUAUCUGGAUUGUCCCACGGCAGCUCAGACCAAGUUAAAUUCAAUAUUCUCCCAACUCCUCCAACUUACACUUAGUUUUUUUCCUUCUCUGGUAUUUGUAUUAUGAUAUCAUUGUCUACACAAUUGCCCAAGAAAGAACUUCAAUCAUGCAGGAGCCCUCUUUCCUUAUCACUGUAUUCUAAUCAGCUAGUCAAUCCUGUCAGUUCUUCCUUCUAAGUCGUCUUCAACUCCAUCAUCUACUCUCCCUGCAUUGCUCUGAUUCAGAUAGUCCUUUGUAAUGUAUUGUUUUUCUCUUGUUACAGCCUCGUUUAUGCAAUAUAUAUUUACUAAGUGUUUAUGCUAAGCCAUGAAGGAAACUAACUAAACAAAGGGAUAGAGAAUGAAGGGGGAAGACUUAAUAUGAGAGGCAGAUCUAGGAGGGUCCUUCUCAGGAGAUGACAUUUAAGACAGGACACAAUAAUAGGAAGGAAUACAAAUGUUAACACCCGGGGCUUUCCCUGUUCCAGGGAGAGUGGGGAGCAGAUACAACAAUCCCAAGGUGUGAAAGAUCCAGAGUGUUUGAGGAACUGGAAGAAAAUCCAUGUGCCUGGAAAGAGCAAUGUGAUUGGGCCUAAAGAUGAUAGGAGGUGUGGUGCAAGAGAUAAGCAGGGGUCACAUGAUGGAAAGUGUUCCAAACCAUGAUGAUGUCUCUGGAUUUAUUUUAAGUGUGAUAGGAAAAAACUGGGGACUUUAGAGGUGGAGAGUGACGGCAUCUGAUUUAUGUGUUUUUAAGAUCAGCUUGGCUGCUUCUGUCUUGAGAAUAGACUAUAGAGACUAUACAGAGGCAAGAUGGGAAGCAAGGAAGCCAGGCAUGAUAUCCUGGUGGCUCUGAUGGAGACGGUGAAAAGCGAUUGUUGAAUAAGAGAUAUGUUUUGAAGGAAGAGUUGAAAAAGACUUGAUGAUAGGUCCAUUUGGUAGGCUCUGCUUGGGAUUUUGGCCAAAGCAAAUGGGUGAAUGAUAGGGAAUUUCUGGGAGAGAAUUAAAAAUUAUCUUUUGGACUUAAGUCAUAUAGUCAAUUGGGUGAAUGAGUCUGGAAGUUGCUGGAGCUGGAGACUUGGGAGUUAUGUGUGCACAUGUAGUAAUUAAAAUCCUGGGGUUGGAUGAGUUUCCUUAGGGAGGGAGAGUGUUCAGAGACAAAAGAACAAAAGUUUAAGAUACUGAGCUCCAGCGCCCCCAGACAUUCAGAGGUUAGGAAAUGGAGGAUCCAGCAAAGGAGAUUGAGAAAAAGUAACCAGUGGAAUAAGAAAAAAAUCCCAAGAGGGUGUGUGUGCCAGAAUCUGAGGAAAGAAAUGUGAAGAAGGAGGAAAUGUUUAUGUCAAACAUGGCUGAGAGUUUGAAUAAGUGGGAACUGACAAGUGACAAUUGGAUUUGACAAAACGAGGCUGAUGGAAAAUAAAUAAAGCAGAGACAUAGUGAAGAUUAGGCUGGGUUAACUGCUCUGUCAGACAGGGAAGCCCUGAUCCAGCAAAGAGCAGCUUAGGUCUGUGGUACUGGCUCCAGAUGAACCACCCAACACAUAGUUUGAGCUUUAUAAACUGUAUUGUGUAUAAGUAUAUAUAUGAGGAAAGUGAUCAAUUAUACAGGAUUCUCUGAAGCAAAUAAAUAGAGAAUCAAAGGUAGAUUUGACAGCUUUUAGAAGGAAGAUCUGACAGGAUUUUAUAUACUUUCCCUUUGAAGUGAUAUUAUUUGUCUCUUUGUCUCAAGAUUGAGUUCCUUGACAGGGCAGGGACUGUGUAUUACCAUCUCUGGGUCCUCAGUAUCCAGCACAUAAGACAACUGUCCACAGAAACAGCCUGUAAAGGGAGCUGACUUUCGCUGAUGGCUCAUAUUGGUCAAGGUAGACUAACUUUUGUAACAAAAAACCCUGCCACCUCAUUAGGUAAACACGAUAAAAGUGUAUUUCUGCAUCUGUCCAGAGUUCAAGACAGAUCAUAUGGGGAGAUGAGAGCUCUACUCCACAUGGAUGUUCUAGGGCCUCACUCUAUUCUGUAUUCAGCCAAGAGAUGGGGAAAAAGGGGUGGAAAUAUUGUGCAGAAGGUUUCUCAAGGGCCAAUUCUUCUCCUGGGUACCCAAGGGAGGCUGAGAAAUGUCAUCUAGCUGUGUCCCUAUGGGGAAAAGGAACCAGCAUUUGGUGAAAACACAACAGUUUCUCCCAUGUGACUCUUCUAAGCUUUGAGAUUCUGGGAAAGUCUAUUAAAGAUCAGCAUUGAUUCGAUCAGGGAUCCUACACAGUUGGCAGAAAAACUCUGGCCAGGUAGCCCUCCACCAGAUCCCCUGGGGCUUCAGGCUGGCAGAGAGGAAUGGCUGAAGGCUUUCCACACGAUCUUCCCCAUUCCUUCACUCUACAAACAUUAUUAAGCAUCACUUGGGAGUCAGAUACUGACAGUGCUAGACAGUGAGAAUGCAGUGAUGAGCACACAGUCUCCACUUUCUCAGGUCCUAAUCUAGUAGAAGAGAGAAAUAUGAAACAAAUAAUAUCAGUGCACUGACAUGAG
rnacentral:lncRNA from 1 species